UAGGCUCCAAGAGCCGAUGAAGGACGAAGGGCGAAUUCGCGGCCGCUAAAUCAAUCGCCCCUUAAAGUAGGCGAG
rnacentral:rRNA from 1 species